rnacentral:rRNA from 1 species
GUAACCAGCAAUGGUUGCGCACACGACUCAAACCCAAAGGCACAGACAACUCGAACAAGGUUGCUAGGGAUUACGGGUUCGGCACGGGCGCAAGCCUUCGUCGGGCCCCUCCAUCCCGGGGUGUCCCGUCCCGCGGCUGUCUCGUGCAGCCCGAGUGGGCAUCCCUCGAGUGCGUAGGAUGCGACCCGAAAGAUGGUGAACUAUGCCUGAUCAGGCCGAAGUCAGGGGAAACCCUGAUGGAGGGCCGAAGCAAUUCUGACGUGCAAAUCGAUUGUCAGAGUUGGGCAUAGGGGCGAAAGACCAAUC